rnacentral:tRNA from 1 species
GUCCCGGUAGCUCAGCGGGAGAGCGCCGUCCUGACGCGACGGAGGCCGUUGGUUCGAACCCAACUCGGGGCA